GGGAUGGAGGUGACCUUGGAGCAGCACUUGGAAGACACAAUGAAGAAUCCCUCCAUUGUUGGAGUCCUGUACACAGAUUCACAAGGACUUAAUCUGGGUUGCCGUGGGACCCUUUCAGAUGAGCAUGCUGGAGUGAUAUCUGUUCUAGCCCAGCAAACAGCUAAGCUAACCUCUGACCCCACUGAUAUUCCUGUGGUGUGUCUAGAAUCAGAUAAUGGGAACAUUAUGAUCCAGAAACGUGAUGGCAUCACAGUGGCAGUGCACAAAAUGGCCUCUUGACACCUCAUAUCUGUUCUUCAGCAGCCUGUCACAGGAACUCGAUCCUACCUAUGUUAAUUACCUUAUAGAACUACUAAAGUUCCAGUAGUUAGGCCAUUCAUUUAAUGUGCAUUGGACCCUUUUCUAUUUAUUUAAGAGUCAAUUGCUUUCUAAUGCUCUAUGGACCGACUAUCAAGAUAUUAGUAAGAAAGGAUCAUGUUUUGAAGCAGCAGGUCCAGGUCACUUUGUAUAUAGAAUUUUGCUAUAUUCAAUACAUCUGGUUGGAGGAAAAAAAAAAAAAA